rnacentral:rRNA from 1 species
AUGAUUGUAAACCUAACGACCAGAGUUCGAUCCACGUCGGGGACGAAUUUCUGGAAUUCUCAUGAGGGAUGCUUCUUCUAUAUCAAUAAAUCCGUGGGUGCUAGUGCCCAUGGAGUUUCAUUUUUUUUUUAAAGUCGAGAUAGAUUCCUCUGCACACAAACAAGUGGGGUGGCUGUCCUUUUAGAAGCAGGGGAUAAUGGUAAUACAGUAGAAUAUUAUGGCAUAUUGACAGAGAUAGUCGAGCUGCAAUAUUUAGAUGAAAGGCGUGUGACAUUAUUCCGUUGCAACUAGAUUGGCGUAUUUAACAAAGAGCAUGGAAUGAAGUAAGACAACAAGAAUGGAAUCGUUAGUCUUAACCUUCAGCGUUUGCUUCAGAUAGAUGAGCCUUUCAUUCCGGAAAGCCAAGUUUUUCAAAAAUAAAUUGUUAAGGACAAUCUUAUAAAAGGAUGGCACAAAAUUGUGAAAAAUCCAUCACGUCAUGCUAUUAAUGUACCACAUGGACAGUCCGAUGAUACACCCUCUGAACCUCCUGGCAAUAGCGACGAAGACGACUUCUUUCAAAAUUCAACAACGUCACGUAGAAAGAGAACAACAUGA